CGGGGUGUGGCGCAGCCCGGUAGCGCGCGUGAUCUGGGAUCACGAAGUCGAGAGUUCAAAUCUCUCCACCCCGA
rnacentral:tRNA from 2 species